rnacentral:rRNA from 1 species
UACGUAGGUGGCGAGCGUUGUCCGGAAUUACUGGGCGUAAAGGAUGCGUAGGCGGAAGAUUAAGUGGGAUGUGAAAUACCCGGGCUCAACCUGGGGGGUGCAUUUCAAACUGGUUUUCUAGAGUGCAGGAGAGGAAAGUGGAAUUUCUAGUGUAGCGGUGAAAUGCGUAGAUAUUAGGAAGAACACCAGUGGCGAAGGCGACUUUCUGGACUGUAACUGACGCUGAGGCAUGAAAGCGUGGGGAGCAAACAGG